rnacentral:rRNA from 1 species
GACGAACGCUGGCGGCGUGCCUAAUACAUGCAAGUCGACCUUAGUGGCGAACGGGUGAGUAACACGUGGGUAACCUGCCCAUCAGCAGGGGAUAACACUUGGAAACAGGUGCUAAUACUGAAUACUGAUGGAUGGACGCGCGGUGCAUUAGCUAGUUGGUGAGGUAACGGCUCACCAAGGCCACGAUUCAUAGGCGACUGGUGAGGGUGAGCGGCCACACGGGGACUGAGACACGGCCCAGGCUCCUACGGUAGGUAGCAGUAGGGAAACUUCGGCAAUGGAGGAAAGUCUGACCGAGCAACGCCGCGUUAGUGAAGAAGGUUUUCGGCUCGUAAAACUCUGUUGUCAGAGAAGCGGUAGCUAACCAGAAAGCCACGGCUAACUACGUGCCAGCAGCCGCGGUAAUCC